AGUACUCAGGUAAGCGAUGUGGCCCAUGGGCCUCUUGUUUAAUAUUAUGGGUUGGUAUUUUAAAGACUUGACAAAAUUCAGGUCUACAUUUCUAUGAAUAAUCUAAAAUAUGUCAUGAAUACAAUGACAUUAGUUUUCAAGACAUUGAAGCUAUACAGAAAUAUUUACUCAUUGUACUGAGUUUAUUUUGACAGGUCUCCCAGGAUGUGCUGUUGAAGUAUGUAAAGCUUAAGAAGUGGAAGAAGUCACCAUUUUGACAGGUGUCCCAGGAUGUGCUGUUUAACUACGUAAAGCUAAAGAAGUGGAAGAAGUCACCAUUUUGACAGGUCUCCCAGGAUGUGCUGUUUAACUAUGUAAAGCUAAAGAAGUGGAAGAAGUCACCAUUUUGACAGACAGGUUUAAUUGAGAACACUUGGAGGCUGUAAU